rnacentral:rRNA from 1 species
GAUGAACGCUGGCGGCGUGCUUAACACAUGCAAGUCGAACGGGAUCCAUCAGGCUUUGCUUGGUGGUGAGAGUGGCGAACGGGUGAGUAAUGCGUGACCGACCUGCCCCAUACACCGGAAUAGCUCCUGGAAACGGGUGGUAAUGCCGGAUGCUCCGACUCCUCGCAUGGGGUGUCGGGAAGGAUUUCAUCGGUAUGGGAUGGGGUCGCGUCCUAUCAGGUAGUCGGCGGGGUAACGGCCCACCGAGCCUACGACGGGUAGCCGGCCUGAGAGGGCGACCGGCCACAUUGGGACUGAGAUACGGCCCAGACUCCUACGGGAGGCAGCAGUGGGGAAUAUUGCACAAUGGGCGCAAGCCUGAUGCAGCGACGCCGCGUGCGGGAUGACGGCCUUCGGGUUGUAAACCGCUUUUGAUCGGGAGCAAGCCUUCGGGUGAGUGUACCUUUCGAAUAAGCACCGGCUAACUACGUGCCAGCAGCCGCAGUAA